rnacentral:lncRNA from 1 species
AGGAAAUGAACCAAAAGUUCUGGAAAACACAACCAAUGUUCUGAUACCUACCCCCUGAAGAAUCCCCCCUAAAAAAGGCUCCCUAAAGUUUGAUGAGUAUAAGCCACUCCUCUCGGAAGAUGAAAUGAGUGGUGGUGCAGAGGAGGAAAAUGAAGAAGAAAUGAGUGAAGCAUCUAAGGAAGAACAACACUAUGAUCUCCUUAUUUUUGCAAUUAAUGGUAAAUAUCAACAUGAGGUCAUUGGCAACCAAGGUUUAUCUCCCAGAAAAUCUUAC